UACAGAGGUCUCAAGCGUUGUUCGGAUUCAUUGGGCGUAAAGGGUGCGUAGGCGGCGCAGUAAGUCGGGUGUGAAAUCUUGGAGCUUAACUCCGAAACUGCAUUCGAUACUGCCGUGCUUGAGGACUGGAGAGGAGACUGGAAUUUACGGUGUAGCGGUGAAAUGCGUAGAUAUCGUAAGGAAGACCAGUGGCGAAGGCGGGUCUCUGGACAGUUCCUGACGCUGAGGCGCGAAGGCUAGGGGAGCAAACGGG
rnacentral:rRNA from 1 species